AGAGUUUGAUCCUGGCUCAGAUUGAACGCUGGCGGCAUGCCUUACACAUGCAAGUCGAACGGCAGCACGGGUGCUUGCACCUGGUGGCGAGUGGCGAACGGGUGAGUAAUACAUCGGAACAUGUCCAGUAGUGGGGGAUAGCCCGCGAAAGCCGGGAUUAAUACCGCAUACGCUCUGUGGAGGAAAGCGGGGGAUCGAAA
rnacentral:rRNA from 1 species